GACGUAGGGAGCAAGCGUUGUCCGGAUUUACUGGGCGUAAAGAGCGCGUAGGCGGCUCGUUAAGUGUGAAGUGAAAUCUCCAGUGCUCAACACGGAAACUGCUUUACAUACUGACGAGCUUGAGGAAAGCAGAGGUAACUGGAAUUCCUGGUGUAGCGGUGAAAAUGCGUUGAUAUCAGGAGGAACACCCAUGCGAAGGCAGGUUACUGGGCUUUAUCUGACGCUGAGGUGCGAAAGCGUGGGUAGCAAACAGGA
rnacentral:rRNA from 1 species